rnacentral:rRNA from 1 species
UACGUAGGUGGCGAGCGUUGUCCGGAUUUACUGGGCGUAAAGAGCGCGUAGGCGGCUCGGUAAGCCGGAUGUGAAACCUCCAAGCUCAACUUGGAGCGGCCAUUCGGAACUGCCGUGGCUAGAGUCUGGUAGGGGAACACGGAAUUCCUGGUGUAGCGGUGAAAUGCUUAGAUAUCAGGAGGAACACCAGUGGCGAAGGCGGUGUUCUGGGCCAGUACUGACGCUGAGGCGCGAAAGCGUGGGGAGCGAACAGG